rnacentral:misc_RNA from 1 species
GAUGAAGAACGUAGCGAAAUGCGAUAAGUAAUGUGAAUUGCAGAAUUCAGUGAAUCAUCGAAUCUUUGAACGCAUCUUGCGCUCUUUGGUAUUCCGAAGAGCAUGCCUGUUUGAGUGUCAUGAAAAUAUCAACCUUGACUUGGGUUUUGUGCUCUAGUCUCGGCUUGGAAUUGGGUGCUUGCCGCUUUUACGAGCGGCUCACCUUAAAUGUAUUAGCUGGAUCUGUCUUUGAGACUUGGUUUGACUUGGCGUAAUAAGUAUUUCGCUAAGGACAUUCUUCGGAGUGGCCUCGUUUCUAGGACGCUUGUCCGAUUUCCAAUACAAGUUCCACCUCGUGGACAUGACUUUUUAUUAUCUGGCCUCAAAUCAGGUAGGACUACCCGCUGAACUUAAGCAUAUCAAUAAGCGGAGGA